rnacentral:rRNA from 1 species
AGCGAACGCUGGCGGCAGGCUUAACACAUGCAAGUCGAGCGGGCACUUUCGGGUGUCAGCGGCGGACGGGUGAGUAACGCGUGGGAACGUGCCCUCUGGUUCGGAAUAACUCAGGGAAACUUGAGCUAAUACCGGAUACGCCCUUUUGGGGAAAGGCUUGCUGCCGGAGGAUCGGCCCGCGUCUGAUUAGCUAGUUGGUGAGGUAACGGCUCACCAAGGCGACGAUCAGUAGCUGGUCUGAGAGGAUGAUCAGCCACACUGGGACUGAGACACGGCCCAGACUCCUACGGUAGGCAGCAGUGGGGAAUAUUGGACAAUGGGCGCAAGCCUGAUCCAGCCAUGCCGCGUGAGUGAUGAAGGCCUUAGGGUUGUAAAGCUCUUUUAUCCGGGACGAUAAUGACGGUACCGGAGGAAUAAGCCCCGGCUAACUUCGUG